rnacentral:rRNA from 1 species
GACAGAGGGUGCAAACGUUGUUCGGAAUUACUGGGCGUAAAGCGUGCGCAGGCGGUUCGUUGUGUCGGCGGUGAAAGCCCCGGGCUCAACCUGGGAAUGGCCGUUGAAACUGGCGAACUGGAGUGUGGCAGAGGGGGGUGGAAUUCCGCGUGUAGCAGUGAAAUGCGUAGGGAUGCGGAGGAACACCGAUGGCGAAGGCAGCCCCCUGGGCUGACACUGACGCUCAGGCACGAAAGCGUGGGGAGCAAACAGG